rnacentral:lncRNA from 1 species
UUAGAAUUUCAGAUCUUGAGUUAUAUAAUUCGUAUCGGUCGAUUCCAACACGUAAUCCAAUCUUUUUUAAAAUAUCGUAAUUGAUUUCAUCUUGACUAGUGGUGAAAUUAAUUGCGAGAGAAAAAAAUAUAUAGAAAAAAUUAUUAAAAAAUUAGCUAUUGGAAUUUUUUUAGAAAGAUUUUAGUACAAUAGGCUUCUUCAAAAGUUUUAUUCUCAAAUUAGACCGGUCAAAAUUUUAUUUGUAAAUAUAAUUUUUGUCUUCUCUUGUAGUUGCUAGCAUGAUGGGGAGAGAAAAAAAACGUGAAAGCGAUAAAUGGUUCAUCGCAUUCAUCAAAUUUUUUUAAAAGCGAUAAAUAAUUUACCGCUUUUAAAAAAGUAUACUAUAAAAGAAUGAGAGAGAGAGAGAGAGAGAGAGAGAGAGAGAGAGAUGGAGAGAGAGGAAAAUAAUAAAGGCGGUGAAACGAUUCACCGCCUUUAAAAUAACUUUGUUGGUUUUAAGAGAAAUUAUGAAAGCGGUAAUGAUUCGCUGCAUUUAAAUACGGUGAUUCAUUCAUUUGCUUAUAUUAUUUAUUUUUUUAAAAAUUCAAUAUAGCAUAUUAGAG